UGGCCGCUCAGCAUAUUGUAUACCUGCCCCGCCUCUGCCUUCCCUGCCACAGCGGGUGGCUCCUGGAGAUGACAGACCACCUUUGCCAAGUCAGGCGGCAUCGCUUUUUAGCAGCUGUUUGAGAAGAAAAUGUUUCCCUUGUGCUGAGGCUGUUGAGAGGUGAAGGAAAGAACCUGCACUUUCCCUACAUUCCACGGCCUCAAAGGGCAGGCCAGAGAGAAUCCUGGCUCUUCUAAUACUGAGGCACAAACUCAAAUGUUCGCAAACAAAGCUGCUGCUCACAGUGUUUGGCAGCUGACGAGGCGCCUCACUGGGAGGCCAGACCCGUGUCAGCGCGUCCACACUGCAGGGUUCAGAGCCCGGGGCACAGGAGCGGGGGAAGGAAAAGCUGAAAAUUCAUGGCUCUCAUGUGGCGUUUUCUUCCUGUACUUAGCGGUAUUAAAAAAGUACCGCACAGGCCUCCGGGGGACACAAGAGCCCGCCUCCGGACGGUGUCAGUGCCACAGGAGCCACGCUCACCUCUGCUCUGUGCGCCGUACAGUACCUGUGUCAUCGGCGUGGUGAUGCCAGACGACACUGCCUCCCCGGCUUGAGCUGGAAGACGGCUCCCCCCCCCAUGUCAAAGGAGGCACCUCCUGCUGGAGGAAACCCCGCCUGCACGCCUCAGUCUUGCUUCCGAAUGGGAAUCCCUGGAAACCCCCUGCAGCCUGCACCUGCUCCACCGUUUCCAUUGGGACCUUCCCGGCCUCCUGCCUGCCUCUCCGACCGCAGGCCCUGCAGGGGCCCUGGCCCCAUGUCACAGAGAGCAGCCCAGGGGGCAGAUCUGCCCUCCCGGUGACCAGCUUCCUGCGCACCGGCUGUCCGCUGUCAACCCUGGUCCCGCUCUGAGCACUGGUGCUGCCGACACUUACCUGGCAGCUCCCCACCCCGCCUUCCUACCCCCUGCACUUCACAGUCCAGUUCCUCUCAGGUGGAUGUCCCCACGGUGUUCCUGUCCUGUGGCCUCUUCCUCCCUCAGCUUCUGAAAUGUGGUCUCUGCCCCACCCCACCUGCCCCUCACCCCUGGGAUCACUCUGACCACAGUCCCCAAGGACCGCCUUGUUCCUAAACCAGGUCUUUAGGCUCGAGCCCGUGGUUCCCUGGCUGGGAACUUGGCCGUCUCCCAUCCAACACCGGGCCCGCGGGCCCACCUGCUGGCGUUUGUCUGUGGGCUCCAGCCCUUCUGCUGGGGGUGAGAGCCAGCGUCGUCUCUGGCCCGGAUCAUUGCAACAGCCUCGGCUCAGUCCUUUCCUGACACCCAGGUGCUUAUGAAUCACCGGAGCAUGUACCGUGCAGGCUCGGAUUGGGUACUUCCGGGGAGGCUGUCCUUGCGGUCACCCCACGGUGACACCAGUGCUGUCCAUCUGGGACGCGUGUUGAGGAGCCAUUGCCAGCCAGGGAGAGACUUCUCACAGCACAUGGGGCCACCUCUGCGUACAGGUCCCCCCCACCUCCCCACACGCCUCGAGACGCAGCCCUCAUGUCACACCCCCCCAAGCUGCUGCCGUGUGCCUGGGGGGGGCUGCUCCCUCCUGCACACGCUUCCCUCCGUCUGGCACUUCGCUCCCCCCAUCCGUGUGGCUGACCCCUGUGUGUCCUUUUAGGCGCUGGCUGGGCGGUCCUCCUCUCGGAAGCGUUUGCUGGGCCCCCACAUGGCCAGGCACCCCUCAUUUCUGUCCAGGGGCAGCCGGCACGUGGCCCCGCCUCGCCGUGAGUGGGUCCUGAGCUUCAGGUGCCCACCUGCUGUGGGGUGGCUGCGAGGCGACAGGAGGAGAAAGGACCCUCUCUGGGAGGUCUCUUCCUGGCCUUCAUCCUUCCCCGGGGACAAGGGUGCAGCUCUGGGGUGACUCACCUUUCCCCGGGAGACGUGCCCUGGGCAAUUUUAGCGGAAAAUAAAAUCCGAUCCCAGAU